AUGGGGGCCCCUGAAAGGCCCCUCGAGGGCAGCACAUCCCCCCUAGCAUCCCCUCCCGCCUGCACAUCUGGGCACGCAUCCAGCUGUGCACACACAUCUGCUCCCCAUCCCACCCGGAGCCAUCCCCAGCUCUGCCGCGGACGUGCCCCCCACAUCCCACAGGAUAAGGGAAAAACAAGGAAAGAUGCGGGGGGGCUCGGGAAGGGUCCCCCGAGGCCAGGCGUGGCGGCAGCUCCGAGUGGCACACGCCAAGGGCACGUUCCCGUCGGAACGGAACGCGGCGCUCGUAUAAUUUGCAGCAAUUGCGAUGGGAAACCGCAGGAAUUCGCUCUACAAAAGGUUUGCAGGGAGGUGAACAGGAGCUCUAAUUCCCUCCAGGUGCCGGCCGGGAUCGGUAGCUCCAGCUGCGUUUUCCUGGCUCCCGUGCCGGAGCGGUGGCUGUGUCCCUGUGUGUCCUCGGGGUGGGAUGAGGGAUCCCCUCGGGAAUGUCACCCAUGGUCAGAAAAAUGCUUCUGGUGGGGUCUCCAUGUCGGAAUGGGAGCUGGGAGCUUGGGAAAUGUGCAGAGCCAGCCAGGACACAGGAUGGGGACACCAGGGGAGCUGCCCCAGCUCUGCCACCCUCCUGUGCCACAGCCCCAGAGCUCGUCAGUGCCCAUCCCCAGGGAAUGGGGUUUUCUGCAGCUCCUCAGGUACCAUCGGCAGCUCCGAGCAUCCCAAAUUCUGCCUCGAGCGGGAGCCAGGGCAGUUUCCCAUCACAAACCUGCCGAGAGCAAGGAGAAUUCUCUGGAAAACCCCAACCACCCUGAAGGGCCGGGCAGCAGCACGAGGGAGCCCCGACCCUGCUCUGCAGGCAGGGGACAGUGGGGCUGGCAAAGGGCCCCGCUGGCUUUGGGAGCCAGAGCAGCGUUCCCACGGCAGGAUCCACCGGGAAUCCCAGGUGGCUCAGAGCCCUUCCCAGCCCUGCCCCAUGGCCCAGAUUCCUCCCGCUGGAUUUGGAGCCACGGAGAACAACCAGCCCCGGAGGAUGCCGGAGCCACAAUUACUGUAAUUAGAAAUGGGGGCUCAGGGCUGGCUGAUCCCACAGGGAUCCUGCGCUGCUUUAUGGAAGUACAAAUCGCUGGGGAUGUCCAGAGGCCGCUGCUGUGUCCGAUGCUGCUCCGCAGGGAUGUGCACACGUGUGCUGGCACACUCUGA
rnacentral:lncRNA from 1 species